AACCGGGGGAACUGAAACAUCUAAGUACCCCGAGGAAAAGAAAUCAACCGAGAUUCCCCCAGUAGCGGCGAGCGAACGGGGAGGAGCCCAGAGCCUGAAUCAGCAUGUGUGUUAGUGGAAGCGUCUGGAAAGGCGCGCGAUACAGGGUGACAGCCCCGUACACAAAAGCGCAUGUGUUGUGAGCUCGAUGAGUAGGGCGGGACACGUGGUAUCCUGUCUGAAUAUGGGGGGACCAUCCUCCAAGGCUAAAUACUCCUGACUGACCGAUAGUGAACCAGUACCGUGAGGGAAAGGCGAAAAGAACCCCGGCGAGGGGAGUGAAAAAGAACCUGAAACCGUGUACGUACAAGCAGUGGGAGCACCCUUCGGGGUGUGACUGCGUACCUUUUGUAUAAUGGGUCAGCGACUUAUAUUCUGUAGCAAGGUUAACCGAAUAGGGGAGCCGGAGGGAAACCGAGUCUUAA
rnacentral:rRNA from 1 species